AUGGCCGGUAAUGCUGAGCUCUUUCUAAAUAGGACAGGGGUACAAUAUUUACAUCCAUGGCAGAAGGUUCUUAACCCUGAACUCAUCAAAGGUCCUUUGACUCAAGAGGAAGAUGAGAAAAUUAUUGAUCUUGUAAGCAAGUAUGGACCAACAAAAUGGUCUCAUUGCAAGGACCUGCAGAAGGACCCUCCCACCUCAUGCAGCGCAGGUCCUGUAGGUGAGGACAUGUUCCACUGGCAGGCCACUAUCAUGGGACCCUCAGACGCCCGUUUACUGGUGGUCUCUUUUCGCACCAAGGUGUUCCACCCAAACAUCAACAACAGCAACGACAACAUUUGCCUUGACAUUCUCAAGGAACUGUGGAGCCCGGCUUUGAUCAUAUUUCAGGUCCUCUUGUCAAUCUGUUCGUUGCUGAUGGACCCCAACCCCGAUGACCCUCUGGUGCCUGAGAUCACUCACAUGUACAAGACUGAUCAGGCCAAGUAUGAGUCCACGGCACGCACCUGGACACAGAAGUAUGCCACGGGUGGAUUUAUAGGCAAGCAAUGUCGAGAGAGGUAUUCCUUUGAUUGUUUUAUUUUUAUGGUUUGCUGA
rnacentral:rRNA from 1 species